AUUAAAGUCCCCGUGCCAUUGGUUGAAACCUCAAUAAAUUUCAACCAAAUCCCUUCCUCCUGCCUCUGCGAAGCAGAGAUCUUCACUGAGAAGCUCGUUCUCUCUCGCUCGCCAUUGUCUCUUCGGGGGGACUACAAAUGCUCUGCGCCCUCUCUCUCUAAAUUUUUGCCGCUCUCUUUCCUCAUUUGCUCUAGGAAUUUCAGCCAUACCCCCUCCUCCUGUGUGCUCUGCGAACCAGAGAGCUUCACUGGGAAGCUCCCUCUCUCUUGCUCGCCAUCGUUUCUCCGAGGGAUUACAAAUGCUCUACAUCCUCUCUCUCUAAAUUUCAGCCACACUACCUCCUCAUUCGCUCUAGUAAGCUUGUUUUGGAUGUUGGCAUCUCAAGGAGGCAGCAUGCGGAGAAAAACCCAACUCAAGACGAAUCAGGAUUAGGGCACUGAAAUCGAGAUCAAUACGACUUUUGAAUACAUGCUCAAAAGGACGGCCUUUUCUACAUCAUUCAAAUGGAAAAGUGAAACUUCAAGAAGCAAAAAGAAAUAAAUUACUUGUUGGUGGUUGAGUCGGUUCAUUUGGGUUAACCUUUUUUAAGCUUCAUUUGUAUAUGGUUGUUUCCUAUUUCAUGAGGUAUUUAACCUCCUUGUAUCUUUCCAGUUGUUUGUAAAUGAUUGUAAUUGGCCAUUGUUUAAUUAAUGGUAAUAUUUUAUGAAUCAAA